AUUGAACGCUGGCGGCGUGCUUAACACAUGCAAGUCGUGCGGUAACAGGCGUAGCAAUACGUGCUGACGAGCGGCGAACGGGUGCGUAAUACAUGGGAAUCUGCCCUUUAGUGGGGAAUAACCCGGCGAAAGCCGGGCUAAUGCCGCAUAAGAUCUUCGGAUGAAAGCGGGGGAUCGUAAGACCUCGCGCUGAUGGAUGAGCCCAUGUCGGAUUAGCAGUUGGUGAGGUAACGGCUCACCAAGGCGACGAUCCGUAGCUGGUCUGAGAGGACGGCCAGCCACACUGGGACUGAGACACGGCCCAGACUCCUACGGGAGCAGCAGUGGGAAUAUUGGACAAUGGGCGAAAGCCUGAUCCAGCGACGCCGCGUGUGUGAAGAAGGCCUGCGGG
rnacentral:rRNA from 1 species